CCUACGGGUGGCAGCAGUGGGGGAUAUUGCACAAUGGGGGAAACCCUGAUGCAGCGACGCCGCGUGUAGGAAGACGGUCCUCUGGAUUGUAAACUACUGUCCUCAGGGACGAAGAUGACGGUACCUGGGGAGGAAGCUCCGGCUAACUACGUGCCAGCAGCCGCGGUACUACGUAGGGAGCGAGCGUUGUCCGGAAUUACUGGGUGUAAGGGGAGCGUAGGCGGGGAUGCAAGUAGGGUGUUAAAUCUACCGGCUCAACUGGUAGUCGCACUCAAAACUGCAGCUCUUGAGUGAAGUAGAGGCAGGCGGAAUUCCUAGUGUAGCGGUGAAAUGCGUAGAUAUUAGGAGGAACACCAGUGGCGAAGGCAGCCUGCUGAGCUUUUACUGACGCUGAGGCUCGAAAGUGUGGGGAGCAAACAGGAUUAGAUACCCCUGUAGUC
rnacentral:rRNA from 1 species